GCAAGUCAAAGGGAGACGGGCCAGACAAAAAAAACUGAAAGUAUUUAAAGAGAAAGUAGUUCAGUCACCCAUUUGGGCAGCGCAUGUGUCUUACAGAUCCAUUUUUAUUAUUCUUUGAGCUGCCUUUUAAAGGGAAGAAAUGGAGUUUGAAAUAUUGGGAAUAAAUUUGAGUUGUGUGGUGAGUGCUAUAAGUAACGGCGAGUUUCCGCAGAAAGACUGCGCGCUGGAUGUGUUGUCUAAGGCAUUAGGCUAUUGUAUUGUCGCUGCUUCAAUCAUUGUUAAAGUUCCCCAGAUCUAUAUAAUUUGGAAGAACAAGAGCAUUAAGGGUUUGAGUGUGGCAUCUUUUGAACUUGAAGUUGUUGGGUUUACCAUUGCCUUGGCAUAUUGCCUGCAUAAUGAUCUGCCGUUCUCAGCUUACGGAGAGUUACUUUUCCUUCUCUUGCAAGCACUUAUACUGAUAGCUCUUAUUUAUUAUUACUCAUCUCCUCUGGGGGCACGGACUCUGCUGAAAUCAACCAUAUAUUGUGCUGUUGCCCCUACCAUUCUUGCUGGCCGGAUCAACCCAGUUCUAUUUGAAGCCUUAUAUGCUUCGCAACAUGCAAUUUUCCUCUUUGCAAGGAUCCCACAAAUUUGGAAAAACUAUUGUAACAAGAGCACCGGUGAACUAAGUUUCCUUACAAGUUUCAUGAAUGCUGCUGGUUGUAUUGUGAGACUGUUUACAAGCAUCCAGGAGAAAGCUCCAACUAGCAUGAUUGCUGGCAGUGUACUUGGUAUCUUUAUGAACGGAAUAUUAGUUUCACAGAUACUUGCCUACCGGCAACCAAGUGCUAAGAAGGACAAGAAGAUAGAAUGAUACCAUUAACCAUGGUGCAUUUCACAGAUGUUAGUGGUGUAGAUGCUGGACUGCAAUUUAUCAUCAGGGUAAACUACACGCGGUUGGAAUUUCUUAGCUUUGCAUUUGCCCCUCUCCAUUAUGGUACUUAACAGGCAUUAUGUAUUUUUAUUCAAUUGUCUUGAUGCCUUCUCAUUGGCAGAUUUGUCACAUCUAUUUUUCAAAUCAUUAAUUUUAACAGAAGACGAACAGGGUAUUAGGUUCACCAUUGUCAGAAUUACUUUUCAACUUCUAAUCUUAAAGGAAAACAACAUAUGGAGAAAUAUGUGCACCAGAGGUUCCAUCUUAGCAUUUAGCAAAAAUAAAAUCUUGUUAGUAGGUUAUAGGUAAAUGGUCAAUAAUUUUAAUUGAGAACAGCAUGUGCCAAACUAUAACUUUGAUUCCCUUUUGACAUUUAUCUGGAUGAAACUAGAUAUUCGGUCGUUGCCAAAUA